GAUGAACGCUAGCGGCAGGCUUAACACAUGCAAGUCGAGGGGCAGCACGAUGUAGCAAUACAUUGGUGGCGACCGGCGCACGGGUGCGUAACACGUAUGGAAUCUGCCCUUUACUGGAGGAUAGCCCGGAGAAAUCCGGAUUAAUACUCCAUAACUGUCGAGGUGGCAUCACCUUGAUCUGAAAGCUCCGGCGGUAAAGGAUGACCAUGCGCACGAUUAGCUAGUUGGUGAGGUAAUGGCUCACCAAGGCUACGAUCGUUAGGGG
rnacentral:rRNA from 1 species